GGUGCCGAGGGUUAGGCGGAAUCACUGGGCUUAAAGCGUGUGUAGGCGGACCGUUAAGUACGUUGUGAAAUCCCACGGCUCAACCGUGGAACGGCUGGGUAUACUGGCGGUCUUGAGCGGCCUAGGGGCAGACGGAACAAGUGGUGGAGCGGUGAAAUGCGUAGAUAUCACUUGGAACGCCGACGGUGAAAACAGUCUGCUGGGGGCCUGCUGACGCUGAGACACGAAAGCCAGGGGAGCGAACGGG
rnacentral:rRNA from 1 species